rnacentral:sRNA from 1 species
UCCUUAAGUACCCACUCACCACUGAAUCUGCGAUGAAGAAGAUUGAAGACAACAACACUCUUGUUUUCAUUGUUGACAUUCGUGCUGACAAGAAGAAGAUUAAGGAUGCUGUUAAGAAGAUGUAUGACAUCCAGACCAAGAAAGUGAACACACUC